rnacentral:rRNA from 1 species
UUUCCGGUUGAUCCCGCCGGACCCCACUGCUAUCGAGGUGGGACUAAGCCAUGCUAGUCGAACGACCCGGACUAUGGCGGGGAGUGGCAGACUGCUCAGUAACACGUAGCUAACCUACCCUCGGGACGGGGAUAACUCCGGGAAACUGGGGCUAAUACCCGAUAGGUGUGGAUUCCUGGAAUGGUGCCAUGCCUAAAUGUAAGCACAUCCAUGUUUGUGUGCACGCCCGAGGAUGGGGCUGCGGCCGAUCAGGCAGUUGGUGAGGUAAUGGCUCACCAAACCUUUGACCGGUACGGGCCAUGAGAGUGGUAGCCCGGAGAUGGGCACUGAGACAAGGGCCCAGGCCCUACGGGGCGCAGCAGGCGCGAAACCUCCACAAUUCACGCAAGUGAGAUGGGGUUACCUCGAGUGCCGUCUGAAGAAGGCGGCUUUUCCAUGGUGUAACAAGCCGUGGGAAUAAGGGGGGGGCAAGACUGGUGUCAGCCGCCGCGGUAACACCAGCCCCCCGAGUGGUGGGGAUGAUUAUUUGGCCUAAAGCGUCCGUAGCCGGCUUUGUAAAUCUCUCGUUAAAUCCAGCGUCCUAAGCGUUGGGCUGCGAGAGAAACUGCAGAGCUAGAGGGUGGGAGAGGUCAGCGGUAUUCCUGGGGUAGGGGCGAAAUCCAUUGAUCCCAGGAGGACCACCAGUGGCGAAGGCUGCUGUCCAGAACACGCCUGACGGUCAGGGACGAAAGCUGGGGUAGCGAAUCGGAUUAGAUACCCGAGUAGUCCCAGCCGUAAACGAUGCAGGCUAGGUGUUGGGUCGGCCACGCGCCGCCUCAGUGCCACAGGGAAGCCAUUAAGCCUGCCGCCUGGGGAGUACGGCCGCAAGGCUGAAACUUAAAGGAAUUGGCGGGGGAGCACCACCAGGCGUGAAGCCUGCGGUUUAAUUGGAUUCAACGCCGGA